rnacentral:misc_RNA from 1 species
GAAAUGCGAUAAGUAAUGUGAAUUGCAGAAUUCCGUGAAUCAUCGAAUCUUUGAACGCACAUUGCGCCCUCUGGCAUUCCUUGGAGCAUGCCUGUUUGAGUAUCAUGAAAUCUUCAAAGUAAAUCUUUUGUUAACUCAAUUGGUUUCUACUUUGGUAUUGGAGGUCUUUGCAGCUUCACACCUGCUCCUCUUUGUUCAUUAGCUGGAUCUCAGUGUUAUGCUUGGUUCCACUCGGCGUGAUAAGUUAUCUAUCGCUGAGGACACUGUAAAAGGUGGCCAAGGUAAAUGCAGAUGAACCGCUUCUAAUAGUCCAUUGACUUGGAAAAUACUUUUAUGAUCUGAUCUCAAAUCAGGUAGGACUACCCGCUGAACUUAAGC